UACGUAGGGGGCGAGCGUUGUCCGGAGUUACUGGGCGUAAAGCGUGCGCAGGCGGUUCUCCAAGUCCGUUGUGAAAGCCCCGGGCUCAACCUGGGAAUGGCAGUGGAAACUAGGGGACUGGAAUCUGGCAGAGGGGGGUGGAAUGCCGCGUGUAGCAGUGAAAUGCGUAGAGAUGCGGCGGAACACCGAUGGCGAAGGCAGCCCCCUGGGCUGAGAUUGACGCUCAGGCACGAAAGCGUGGGGAGUAAACAGG
rnacentral:rRNA from 1 species